rnacentral:rRNA from 1 species
ACUCAAUUAAACCUAAAGGCGCAAUGAAAGUAAAGGUCCGCCUCGCGCGGACCUAGGGAGGAUGCGUCCGGCCACGGUCGGGCGCCGCACUCCCGGGGCGUCUCGUUCUCAUAGCGAGAAGAGGCGCACCCAGAGCGUACACGCUGGGACCCGAAAGAUGGUGAACUAUGCCUGGUCAGGACGAAGUCAGGGGAAACCCUGAUGGAGGUCCGUAGCGAUUCUGACGUGCAAAUCGAUCGUCGGAACUGGGUAUAGGGGCGAAAGACUAAUCGAACCUUCUAGUAGCUGGUUCCUUCCGA